UUCCAGACUCCUACGGGAGGCAGCAGUGGGGGAUAUUGCACAAUGGGGGAAACCCUGAUGCAGCGACGCCGCGUGGGUGAAGAAGCGCCUCGGCGCGUAAAGCCCUGUCAGCAGGGAAGAAAAUGACGGUACCUGAAGAAGAAGCCCCGGCUAACUACGUGCCAGCAGCCGCGGUAAUACGUAGGGGGCAAGCGUUAUCCGGAUUCACUGGGUGUAAAGGGAGCGUAGACGGCAGCGCAAGUCUGGAGUGAAAUGCCGGGGCCCAACCCCGGAACUGCUUUGGAAACUGUGCAGCUCGAGUGCAGGAGAGGUAAGCGGAAUUCCUAGUGUAGCGGUGAAAUGCGUAGAUAUUAGGAGGAACACCAGUGGCGAAGGCGGCUUACUGGACUGUAACUGACGUUGAGGCUCGAAAGCGUGGGGAGCAAACAGGAUUAGAUACCCCGGUAGUC
rnacentral:rRNA from 1 species